rnacentral:rRNA from 1 species
UCACUGGAGAGUUUGAUCCUGGCUCAGGACGAACGCUGGCGGCGUGCCUCAAACAUGCAAGUCGAGCGAGGGUUGGCGCGUAGCCAACUACGCGUUUCAACUCUAGCGGCGAACGGGUGAGUAACACGUGGGCAACCUGUCCCGAGGACGGGGAUAACUCCGGGAAACCGGGGCUAAUACCCGAUGCCUUCACCGGGGGGCAUCCCCUGGGGAAGAAAGGGUCCGCAAGGUCUGCCACGGGAGGGGCCCGCGGCCUAUCAGCUGGUUGGUAGGGUAACGGCCUACCAAGGCGAUGACGGGUAGCUGGCCUGAGAGGGUGGUCAGCCACACUGGGACUGAGACACGGCCCAGACUCCUACGGGAGGCAGCAGUUGGGAAUCUUGGGCAAUGGGCGCAAGCCUGACCCAGCGACGCCGCGUGGGGGACGAAGGCCUUCGGGUUGUAAACCCCUGUCAGGAGGGACGAAGCCGCAAGGUGACGGUACCUCCAGAGGAAGCCCCGGCUAACUACGUGCCAGCAGCCGCGGUAAGACGUAGGGGGCGAGCGUUGUCCGGAUUUACUGGGCGUAAAGCGCGUGUAGGCGGUUCGGCAAGUCCCGUGUGAAAGCCUCCGGCUCAACCGGAGAACGCCGCGGGAUACUGCCG